UAGCAUUUAUUACUGGCUUCCUUGGCUAAAAAGAUGCAAGGAAAAGGAAAUAUAUUCAAAUGAUAGGAAGAAUGACUUUAAUAAGUUCAAAGAGAUUAAAUCCAUUUUCUUGAGUCUGCCAUGGAUGAGAACAUCAUGGACGCUUUGGCUUUGAGAUAGAGAAGGAAGAGAUGGAGGAAAGGAACCAUGAGCGCUGCCAACCUGCACCUGUCCCUAACAAGUACUAGAAUCAGAAGUCAACCAUAUGCGUGUGGCCAUCGAAGUCUGGGGAAAGCGUGAGAUCAAAACCAAGAACAGGCCUCAACUGAGGAACAUUAGAGAAAAGAAAGGAUGGCUUCAACAGACCACUUUAAUGGACACAUUACAAUAUUUUCUGCAUGUAGUAAAUUUUGAGAUUAUAAAA